rnacentral:lncRNA from 1 species
GGGUAAGAGGCCCCAGCCGUUGGGCUGGGCCUGAGAUCAACCUAACACUGCGGCCAAGUUACAGUCUGCAAGGAAGAUGAGUGCUCGGCAACGUGCGCCGUCCUGGGAAUCAAUGGUGUCGGGCAAUGCAAGGUCGCCGGCGGUGUGCCCACCUGCUGCUGCUUCGUCCCAACAAAACCAUCCGCCUCCGUCGUCGGUGUCCAGUCCACCCAGCUUCCGCAUUGACCCGUCUCUAGAUUAAUGCAUGAAUCCGUCGCUAAAUUGAUGCAUGAAUCAGUCCAAAAGUUUUGUCAUACUUGUUUCUCCGAUUGAUUUUGAAUCAGUUGCAUUGGGUAAGAUAUGGUGAUAUAGUACUACAGUGUCUACAUCUGAUGUGCCUCUUUUGUGUUCUUAAUUGUUUGAUCCUCCUUGGUCACAAGCGUCAUUGUUCAUAUUUCAUAACACAUUACUACGGCCGCGUUUGAUCCGGGCAAGUUGACA